ensembl:lncRNA
GAAAGUAAUGUUGCAAACAGGCCAGCAAACACCCUAACUGAAUAAGAACACUUCCUGGGAGGAUCUUAAGAGGGCUUUUCAUCUGGGUACAAGGUUGGGAUUGCGGCAACGCUGACUCUUGAAUUUGGUGGAGUACUCUGGAGGAGAAAGGAGAUGUGUCCAAUCGGUGACUAGACAACGGUGCAGAAGCAAGGCUGAGAAGAGAGUUCACUCAAGCAGAGCCGGGGGAACCAGGCUGGAGAAAGAAAAGAAGUGGGAGCAAAAUCCCAGAGAUCACCUAUAGCAGAGAUCGGUAAUCUCCUGGGACAGAGAAAUAAAUCUGAAGGAUGUGAGACUAAUAUUACCGUGCCAAUAGUAGAGGUAGUUAAUAUUUUUGGUAUUAUCUAGUGUGGCAAAGAUUUAGAAUUGCAAUAACUUGCAGCAACAAUGUCAACAUACAGCAGAUCACAGUACCCAGCUAUUUUGGAACUAUCUUAGCAAAAGGCACACGUGUCGUUCAUAGGUAGCCAAAGAGCUACUCUGUGAACUGAGAAACAACUCUGUUGUCUUCAGUGAAAAAUAUACAGGUAUCAGGAGGCACAAAACAAUCAUUGCAUGAAUUGCAUGUGGGAAACUAAAUGGUAAUGAAUUAUGUAAUCCCUGUCUGAAUUAGGCUAGUUUCAUGUAGGCAUUGGGAAGUAUGACAUUUCUCUGAAUGUGUAUUUUCACCAACACGUGUUUUUAAUGCAUAGGAUUCUUCUACCAAGGGAUUGGUUACUACACUUGCAUGUUUAUGCUGAGAAAAGAAGAAGCAAACAAGUGUUCUGUGCAUGAGGUACUAUCCUCACUGCUGUAAUUAUCAAAAAAUCUCUGAGAUGCCUGUGAAGCACCUUUCUGAAGCACCACUCCAACUAAAGUUACAUAUAGAAGGCUGUUUAUACUGUAAAUACCUCAUUGCCAGAUCUUAAUUUUGUUUGCUUUUUUGGGUUUGAGUUGGUUUUGUCAAAACAAUGACAAAUGAAUUGCAUUGAUUUGAAGGUGCUGUCUCGUUGGCACGAUGCCGUUUUAUAUUCACUUUGUUAUUGCAGGAAUCAGUCUGGUAGCCAAAACAUGCAGACCUGCAGCAUAUAAAAAAUUAAUAGAAUGUUUAAUUCAUGUAUUUGAGAUAAACUAUGAGAUAAGCAUUAAAUGACUAUUAUGUUUAAUUUGGAUGAAUGCAUAUGUCUGUGUUUGCAACCACAUCUGUUCUCUUCUGGAGGGAAUCAAAAUCCUCCAUCUGUUUAAUAGUUUCCAGUCUAUGUGUAUGGGUUCACUUUUGUGUCGGAUGUCAAGUUCUGUUUUUGUAAGGCAAGCUAUUCAGAGAAUGGGAUCUGAAAAGCCUGGAAUUCCAAGAGCUAUACCACGCUGCAAAUUCAUGUACUACCAUUUCAAAAUUAGCUUAGACACUUUGAAAACAGUAUGUUGAUUUGAAUGAUGGAGGAGGUCUACUAAUAUGCUGCAAUCUGUGUAAAACUGCUGCCUGGCAUAGCAAAUACUGUCCGUGGUGUGACAGAAGAGGUGCUCCUGCAUGGCCUGCUCCUCCCUUUCUCCAUGGCAGCUGCCUCCAGAGUGCCUUGUCUGUUCCUGAAUAUGUAUGGAUACAUGCUUUCAAGUAGUAAUAUCCUAUUUUCACUCCUACAUAAAUUUUGUAGGGAGCCUAAGUUCAUUAAAUUUGUUAAUUUUAUCAAUAGAAAGUUCAUAGGAAAAAGUAAAGCACAGGGAUUACUGUGUCACAGCUUGUUAAAAAGCGUAACAUCUGUGAAAGCACAUACCAUAUUUGUCUGAUUUACCAUCUCUGGCUGAGAUUCAGCCAGCACUUCACUGGAAAUCCCAUCUCUGCUCGUCAGAGCACAGCAGGUUUAUAAGGUGACCAGUUUUUUAAUAUGAAUGCCAUGAGACAGUCUUCUCCCCCACUGCUUGAGUUCAGAAGCCCUGUUUUUCUUUAGCAUAUACUACUUCUGCUUUGAAUUCCUUGACUGCUAAUGCUGAAUUGCUGCAUUGUUAAGAGGUGUCGUGAUAGCUAAGAUGGUAUCUUAAAGUCUUGACCACUCAUACUCAUGUUGCAGAUCCUAUUCUGCUUUAUAUAGCCAUCCUGAAGUUCUGUAGUUGUCCUCUAAGACAGGUAAGAGUUUGCUUACCAUUCCUCACGGAUUUUGUUAUCUUUACCAUUAAGAAAUCCUUGCUAAAAAUGUUCCCCAGAGGACCUCUUCUGCUUGUGAAUGGACUCUUUAGAUCAUAGCUUUCCAGAACUACUUACCUCCACCACAUUUUAGUACAGGUAAGCCGUGUGAUCUAGAGUGAAAACGUCUAGAGAAACUGUAAGAAAUUUCCCUUCAGAAAUUCGGGACUUGAAAGAAGUCCCUUUUAGUGAAAGUGAAGCAUAAAUGUAAGAAGUCAGACAAGAUUUCCCCAGGGUGUUCUACUGAAGGUUCUUGGGGGUUAAAAGCACAAUCUCAAAGCUGGGUCAUCUGUGCUCUCUCACAUUUACUAUUCCUCCCUGGUCCAAUGUUAGUCUGUAAGUUAUCCACACUGUUUGAGCUGCAGCAUUUUUGCUUUCAGAAAUCUGUUCAUUGCUCAUUAAUGAGCACAAGGAAAGUGAACUCCCACAAGUUCAGUUUCUCUUGCUCACUGUAUGAAUCUCUUAUACAAUUUAUUCAGUUAAUCCCCUGCGGAAACUCAUUGACAUUGGAAAAGCUUGGGUGGAAGCCUGUGGUUUCAUCAAUUCCAGCUGUGACUGUUGCCAUUGCAUACCAAACUGCAAUAUAAAUCAAGUUUGAUUACAGUACUUAGAAAAAU